rnacentral:rRNA from 1 species
UGCCAGCCGCCGCGGUAAUACGGAGGGGGCGAGCGUUGUUCGGAAUUACUGGGCGUAAAGGGCGCGUAGGCGGGCUUGCAAGUCAGGGGUGAAAGUCCUGGGCUCAACCUGGGGACUGCCUUUGAAACUGCGAGUCUUGAGUCCGGGAGAGGAUGGCGGAAUUCCCAGUGUAGAGGUGAAAUUCGUAGAUAUUGGGAAGAACACCGGUGGCGAAGGCGGCCAUCUGGACCGGUACUGACGCUGAGGCGCGAAAGCGUGGGGAGCAAACAGGAUUAGAUA